rnacentral:rRNA from 1 species
GUCCACGCCGUAAACGUUGGGCACUAGGUGUGGGACUCUAUCGACGGGUUCCGUGCCGUAGCUAACGCAUUAAGUGCCCCGCCUGGGGAGUACGGCCGCAAGGCUAAAACUCAAAGGAAUUGACGGGGCCCGCACAAGCGGCGGAGCGUGUGGCUUAAUUCGAUGCAACGCGAAGAACCUUACCUGGGCUUGACAUGUACGGUAAAGCGGGUGAAAAGCCCGUGUCCUUCGGGGCCGUACACAGGUGGUGCAUGGCUGUCGU